rnacentral:rRNA from 1 species
UACAGAGGUCCCAAGCGUUGUUCGGAUUCAUUGGGCGUAAAGGGUGCGUAGGCGGUUCGUUAUGUCGGAUGUGAAAGCCCUUGGCUUAACCGAGGAAGUGCAUCCGAAACUGGCGAGCUAGAGUACUAAAGAGGAUCGCGGAAUUCCCGGUGUAGAGGUGAAAUUCGUAGAUAUCGGGAGGAACACCGGUGGCGAAGGCGGCGAUCUGGGUAGAUACUGACGCUGAGGAGCGAAAGCGUGGGGAGCGAACAGG